UACAGAGGUCCCAAGCGUUGUUCGGAUUCACUGGGCGUAAAGGGUGCGUAGGUGGUGAGGUAAGUCGGAUGUGAAAUCUCCAGGCUCAACCUGGAAAUGGCAUUGGAAACUACCUUGCUAGAGGGUUUGAGGGGGGGACUGGAAUACUUGGUGUAGCAGUGAAAUGCGUAGAUAUCAAGUGGAACACCAGUGGCGAAGGCGAGUCCCUGGAAAAUACCUGACACUGAGGCACGAAAGCUAGGGGGAGCAAACAGG
rnacentral:rRNA from 1 species